UACGAAGGGGGCUAGCGUUGCUCGGAAUUACUGGGCGUAAAGGGCGCGUAGGCGGACAGUUUAGUCAGAGGUAAAAGCCCAGGGCUCAACCUUGGAACUGCCUUUGAUACUGGAAGUCUUGAGUAUGGGAGAGGUGAGUGGAACUGCGAGUGUAGAGGUGAAAUUCGUAGAUAUUCGCAAGAACACCAGUGGCGAAGGCGGCUCACUGGCCCAUUACUGACGCUGAGGCACGAAAGCGUGGGGAGCAAACAGG
rnacentral:rRNA from 1 species